CGUGCUCGGACCCCCCCGCGGCUUCCGGUUUCAAAAUUAAAAGCAUGAGCAAUCCCGGUGACAUCCGCUCACGCUUCAUAAUAAAACGCGAUAUUUUGGAAAAGAGUUAACUUGGGAUGGAGUUUUAAAAUCGAGUUAGGGCUCUAAACUUAGUGACAGAUAGUUUAUAUAUGGGUAGUUUCUCAAAAUAGUUUUGAUAACCAAUCAGAUUUGCGACAGCUCACAGGUAUCACGUUCGUGUCCUGAUUGGAUACGCACUAAUUAGAUACCUGGCAAACGGAAGCUGCUGUCCCGUUGGCGACUUGAACGAGCGAAAACGAUCAUUUGUGGAGAUCUCGCUGGAUGUUUAUUUAUUUAUUUUUUCAACCCACAAGGUGGAGAAGUAAUUGAUCGCCAUUUUCAAGACGGACAUUUCGAGAAAAAGUGGCUAUUGCGAGAUUAGUCGUCCAGCUCCCGCGCUAGCUAACAUCGCAUGCCGUAAGCGGUUCCGGACCAGUUGAGUUCAGAAGGCGGAAACCCGGUGAGACGGUCCAAGCCACCACAUCGGGCAAGGCACCCUCACCGAUGCCGGGAAGAGUCGGGAGAAGUAGAUUUCCCAGGUGUCCGUGGCGGCGGCGACGAUGCGUUUCUUCACGUGUUCCUCCACCGGAUCCGUGUUGGGUUGCACCCCGUGUUCAUCUGUGAGUCCCACGCACACAUGCGUCAGGAGUGUGUUAAAGCGUGUGUAAAAGUGGCGUGGGAAGAAGAGAGAGACUUGACUACCAAAGAGAGCUUUCAUCCGCUGCCUUUCAUCGCGGCGGAUGCGGACGCACGCCUCUGACAGG